rnacentral:rRNA from 1 species
CGGGUGAGUAACGCGUGGAUAACCUGCCUCACACUGGGGGAUAACAGUUAGAAAUGACUGCUAACACCGCAUAAGCGCACAGUACCGCAUGGUACAGUGUGAAAAACUCCGGUGGUGUGAGAUGGAUCCGCGUCUGAUUAGCCAGUUGGCGGGGUAACGGCCCACCAAAGCGACGAUCAGUAGCCGACCUGAGAGGGUGACCGGCCACAUUGGGACUGAGACACGGCCCAA